rnacentral:rRNA from 1 species
CCUACGGGGGGCAGCAGUGGGGAAUAUUGGACAAUGGGGGGAACCCUGAUCCAGCCAUGCCGCGUGUGUGAAGAAGGCCCUCGGGUUGUAAAGCACUUUCAGUGAGGAAGAACGCCUGGUGGUUAAUACCCAUCAGGAAAGACAUCACUCACAGAAGAAGCACCGGCUAACUCCGUGCCAGCAGCCGCGGUAAUACGGAGGGUGCGAGCGUUAAUCGGAAUUACUGGGCGUAAAGCGCGCGUAGGUGGCUUGAUAAGCCGGUUGUGAAAGCCCCGGGCUCAACCUGGGAACGGCAUCCGGAACUGUCAAGCUAGAGGGCAGGAGAGGAAGGUAGAAUUCCCGGUGUAGCGGUGAAAUGCGUAGAGAUCGGGAGGAAUACCAGUGGCGAAGGCGGCCUUCUGGACUGACACUGACACUGAGGUGCGAAAGCGUGGGUAGCAAACAGGAUUAGAUACCCUGGUAGUC